UUAAGCGACUAAGCGUACACGGUGGAUGCCCUGGCAGUCAGAGGCGAUGAAGGACGUGCUAAUCUGCGAAAAGCGUCGGUAAGGUGAUAUGAACCGUUACAGCCGGCGAUGUCCGAAUGGGGAAACCCAGUGCAAUUCGUUGCACUAUCGUUAACUGAAUACAUAGGUUAACGAGGCGAACCGGGGGAACUGAAACAUCUAAGUACCCCGAGGAAAAGAAAUCAACCGAGAUUCCCCCAGUAGCGGCGAGCGAACGGGGAGCAGCCCAGAGUCUGAAUCAGCUUGUGUGUUAGUGGAACGGUCUGGAAAGUCCGACGGUACAGGGUGAUAGUCCCGUACACCAAAAUGCACAGGUUGUGAACUCGAAGAGUAGGGCGGGACACGUGGUAUCCUGUCUGAAUAUGGGGGACCAUCCUCCAAGGCUAAAUACUCCUGACUGACCGAUAGUGAACCAGUACCGUGAGGGAAAGGCGAAAAGAACCCCGGCGAGGGGAGUGAAAAAGAACCUGAAACCGUGUACGUACAAGCAGUGGGAGCACCUUCGGGUGUGACUGCGUACCUUUUGUAUAAUGGGUCAGCGACUUAUAUUCUGUAGCAAGGUUAACCGUAUAGGGGAGCCGCAGGGAAACCGAGUCUUAACUGGGCGUUAAGUUGCAGGGUAUAGACCCGAAACCCGGUGAUCUAGCCAUGGGCAGGUUGAAGGUUGGGUAACACUAACUGGAGGACCGAACCGACUAAUGUUGAAAAAUUAGCGGAUGACUUGUGGCUGGGGGUGAAAGGCCAAUCAAACCGGGAGAUAGCUGGUUCUCCCCGAAAGCUAUUUAGGUAGCGCCUCGUGAAUUCAUCUUCGGGGGUAGAGCACUGUUUCGGCUAGGGGGUCAUCCCGACUUACCAACCCGAUGCAAACUACGAAUACCGAAGAAUGUUAUCACGGGAGACACACGGCGGGUGCUAACGUCCGUCGUGAAGAGGGAAACAACCCAGACCGCCAGCUAAGGUCCCAAAGUCAUGGUUAAGUGGGAAACGAUGUGGGAAGGCACAGACAGCCAGGAUGUUGGCUUAGAAGCAGCCAUCAUUUAAAGAAAGCGUAAUAGCUCACUGGUCGAGUCGGCCUGCGCGGAAGAUGUAACGGGGCUAAACCAUGCACCGAAGCUGCGGCAGCGACACUAUGUGUUGUUGGGUAGGGGAGCGUUCUGUAAGCCUGCGAAGGUGGCCUGUGAGGGUUGCUGGAGGUAUCAGAAGUGCGAAUGCUGACAUAAGUAACGAUAAAGCGGGUGAAAAGCCCGCUCGCCGGAAGACCAAGGGUUCCUGUCCAACGUUAAUCGGGGCAGGGUGAGUCGACCCCUAAGGCGAGGCCGAAAGGCGUAGUCGAUGGGAAACAGGUUAAUAUUCCUGUACUUGGUGUUACUGCGAAGGGGGGACGGAGAAGGCUAUGUUAGCCGGGCGACGGUUGUCCCGGUUUAAGCAUGUAGGCUGGUUAUCCAGGCAAAUCCGGAUAAUCAAGGCUGAGGUGUGAUGACGAGGCACUACGGUGCUGAAGUAACAAAUGCCCUGCUUCCAGGAAAAGCCUCUAAGCAUCAGGUAACAUUAAAUCGUACCCCAAACCGACACAGGUGGUCAGGUAGAGAAUACCAAGGCGCUUGAGAGAACUCGGGUGAAGGAACUAGGCAAAAUGGUGCCGUAACUUCGGGAGAAGGCACGCUGGUGUGUAGGUGAAGUCCCUGCGGAUGGAGCUGAGACCAGUCGAAGAUACCAGCUGGCUGCAACUGUUUAUUAAAAACACAGCACUGUGCAAACACGAAAGUGGACGUAUACGGUGUGACGCCUGCCCGGUGCCGGAAGGUUAAUUGAUGGGGUUAUCCGUAAGGAGAAGCUCUUGAUCGAAGCCCCGGUAAACGGCGGCCGUAACUAUAACGGUCCUAAGGUAGCGAAAUUCCUUGUCGGGUAAGUUCCGACCUGCACGAAUGGCGUAAUGAUGGCCAGGCUGUCUCCACCCGAGACUCAGUGAAAUUGAACUCGCUGUGAAGAUGCAGUGUACCCGCGGCAAGACGGAAAGACCCCGUGAACCUUUACUAUAGCUUGACACUGAACAUUGAGCCUUGAUGUGUAGGAUAGGUGGGAGGCUUUGAAGCGUGGACGCCAGUCUGCGUGGAGCCAACCUUGAAAUACCACCCUUUAAUGUUUGAUGUUCUAACGUUGGCCCCUGACCGGGGUUGCGGACAGUGUCUGGUGGGUAGUUUGACUGGGGCGGUCUCCUCCCAAAGCGUAACGGAGGAGCACGAAGGUUAGCUAAUCCUGGUCGGACAUCAGGAGGUUAGUGCAAUGGCAUAAGCUAGCUUGACUGCGAGCGUGACGGCGCGAGCAGGUGCGAAAGCAGGUCAUAGUGAUCCGGUGGUUCUGAAUGGAAGGGCCAUCGCUCAACGGAUAAAAGGUACUCCGGGGAUAACAGGCUGAUACCGCCCAAGAGUUCAUAUCGACGGCGGUGUUUGGCACCUCGAUGUCGGCUCAUCACAUCCUGGGGCUGAAGUAGGUCCCAAGGGUAUGGCUGUUCGCCAUUUAAAGUGGUACGCGAGCUGGGUUUAGAACGUCGUGAGACAGUUCGGUCCCUAUCUGCCGUGGGCGCUGGAGAAUUGAGGGGGGCUGCUCCUAGUACGAGAGGACCGGAGUGGACGCAUCACUGGUGUUCGGGUUGUCAUGCCAAUGGCACUGCCCGGUAGCUAAAUGCGGAAGAGAUAAGUGCUGAAAGCAUCUAAGCACGAAACUUGCCCCGAGAUGAGUUCUCCCUGAGACUUUAAGUCUCCUGAAGGAACGUUGAAGACGACGACGUUGAUAGGCCGGGUGUGUAAGCGCAGCGAUGCGUUGAGCUAACCGGUACUAAUGAACCGUGAGGCUUAACCUU
rnacentral:rRNA from 1 species